CCGAGUUUUCCGAAAGGAAUCUCUCACACAAUGUUAUGUUAACCUUAUUGCUUCGGCAAGACGUGUUCUUUGAGCCCACUGGUCUUUGGACGGGUGUGUGCUUGCCGAAGGUUUAACUCUUUAUUUUUGUUAGUCUGAAAAAAUAAUCAAAUAAUCA
rnacentral:misc_RNA from 1 species